rnacentral:SRP_RNA from 1 species
UUAUGGGCUAGGCUGGUGCAUUGGUCCUGCACUGUUACUCUAAACGGACCUCAUGAGAGGGCCGAAGCUUGGAAAGAGACAUUUGCCUUGUAAGUGGUCUUGGUUUGGACGUUGAGGUUCUGUCCUCUUGGACCGAUAAAUUUGAUAAUCCAUCAGGUCAGGAAUGAAGCAGUGGUACUCUUUUAUAUUGGUGCUUGGAGGGUAGCGGAACUGAGGAAAAAUCAAGGUUAACUGCUUGCUUUGCUUGUGUCCAUUUUCAAGCGUGCCCACUU